rnacentral:rRNA from 1 species
UACGUAGGGUGCGAGCGUUGUCCGGAAUUAUUGGGCGUAAAGGGCUCGUAGGCGGUCUGUUGCGUCAGGAGUGAAAACUCGGGGCUUAACCCCGAGCCUGCUUCUGGAUACGGGCAGACUAGAGGUAUGCAGGGGAGAACGGAAUUCCUGGUGUAGCGGUGAAAUGCGCAGAUAUCAGGAAGAACACCCGUGGCUAAGGCGGCUCUCUAGUACGGUACUGACGCUGAGACGCGAAAGCGUGGGGAGCGAACAGG